rnacentral:rRNA from 1 species
UGCAACACGCUCUUCUCAAGGAUUAACCCAUGCACGUGCCAAGUUCACACCUUGUUAAAGUGAGACUGCGGACGGCUCAUUAAAUCGGUUAUAAUCUGUUCAAAAGUGUCAACCCAUUGAAUAACCGUGGGAAAUCUAGAGCUAAUACAUGUAACGAAACGGUCUAUGGCAGCGAUGCUGUAGGUCGGUGCAUUUAUUGAACAAAACCAAAUGCUAGUGGGUCCUCGUGGCUCAUUAACAGGGUGAAUCUAAAUAACUGAGCAAAUUGCAUAGCCUUGCGCUGGCAAUGUUUCAAUUGAAUUUCCGCCCUAUCAACUGUUGAUGGUAAGGUAAAGGCUUACCAUGGUUGCAACGGGUAACGGGAAAUCAGGGUUCGAUUCCGGAGAGGGAGCCUGAAAAACGGCUACCACAUCCAAGGGAGGCAGCAGGCGCGCAAAUUACCCAAUCCAAACAAUGGGAGGUGGCAACAAGAAGUACUGGGCGCUCGGCUAUGCCGUGUGUCCCGAAAUGAGCACAAAGUAAAAAGUUGGUCGAGUAACUACU